GGGCGCCGGAGCCACUUCCGGAGCAAAUGUCAAGCCUCGAGAGGGCGCCUGGAGCGGCGCGCGCGGCGCCGGCGGCUCGGCGGCCUGGGGAGGAAGAGGAGGAUCUUCUCUUUCAGUAGGAGUCACCGAAGUUAGAAGUUACUUGAAGUUACCUUGUAUUCAUCUCAGAAAGAAAGUACCCCCAGGCCGGUGGUGUGUUGAAGGUGACUUGUACGGUCUCAUUAAAAUUUGGUCUGGAGCCAAACCCACAGUAUCUCUAAGGACUCUUGUGACUACAUUGGGCAUACCUGGAUAAUUCCUAGCUUAAGGUGAUUGGCUUGAUCACUCCUUUUCGUAGUGAUGAUGCUUAGAAGUGGGAAAGUGUGGUUUCUCCUGUAGGGUCCAUGCCAUCAGCCAGAGGGAAAUAUGGCCCUUUACAGGUGUUAAAGGACUCAGCGCUGGUAAAUGGGACUCUUCGAUAUGGAUAUGGCUGAAUACCAACAACCCACACAAUCAAGCCUGGUUAAUAUAAAAACUUCAACUCUCCAAGCUUAACUAGGGGACGCGAGUUCGAACCCUGGUCUGGGAAGAGCCCACAUGCCGCGGAGCAACUAAGCCCGUGUGCCACAACUACUGAGCCUGCGUCCCACAACUACUGAAGCCCACACACCUAGAGCCCGUGCUCUGCAACAAGAGAAGCCACCGCAAUGGGAAGCCCAUGCACUGCAACGAAGAGUAGCCCCGCUCACUGCAACUAGAGAAAGCCCGCCUGCAGCAACGAAGACCCAACACGGCCAAUAAAUAAAUAAAUAAAUAAAUAAAUAAAUUUAAUUAAAAAGAAAAAGAAAAAAAGAAAGGAAAGGAUGUGUCAGAUCAUUAUAU